rnacentral:lncRNA from 1 species
AGAACUCCUGCUCCGCCUCCCCGGGACUUUGACCCGCAACUGGCUCCGCCUUUCCCCCCCCCCACCCGCUCGCCCAGCCGCCCGCCUUGCCCCAAGGGGCUCCGCCCCGCCUCGUGAGCAACCGUUUCCUCCUAGUCUAAAAGGACCUCAGCGAUUGACGAGUCUGUUCUCCAAUCAUCAUGCCGAGUGACCAAUUAGGUGAUAAUAGAGGCGGGUGCCGAAGCAUGGGAUGGGGGUGACCAGGAAGUGUGAGCUGAGACUGGAGGAGGACGGAUCAAGCCCAGGCGACUGUGAGAAGGUGACCCGGUAUCUGGAUUCUCCAAUUUUCUUUUUUCCCGGGGCAAGUGUCCCUUUGCAGUUGGUAGCUAGGAUCUCCAUUUGCCCUUUCUUUGGGGGAAGGGGGUGUGUCAACUUAUUGAAGCCUUGGAGGAUCUUGAGAUUCCUUCCUCUUACUUUGCCUCGGAGCAGAUCCUUCUCUUAGCCUGAAGUGGGGACCUCUGCGGGGCCCUGUAAGGUUGGUGGUUAAAGUCCUCUGCAUUCAGGCCCAGAGAAAGGGUGAUGGUGAUCUGACAGACGCGGUUUCUCCUUCCGGAGAGUUAGACAUCUCCAGGUGCGGUCGCAGGUGGUGAAGGUGAAGGUGGAGGGGCCCUGGAAACCAGAUCAGGGAACUGGGAAUACGGUAGAUAUUGGGGGCGAAGGAACGACUGAAAAGAAACAUUUACGCGGGGCCACGGUGGUUUUCUAAGUGGGCGAACCUAGGCGAGGC